GCCGCCGUCCGGGAAAUCGAAAGCCCAACGGCGCAUGCGAGCAUCGCCCUCCGA
rnacentral:rRNA from 1 species